rnacentral:lncRNA from 1 species
GUGACCACUAUGAAAUCCUCGAAGAAGUGAUCAAGUUGACCUACCUUGGAGGUAAUAGUGUCAUUCUAUUUAAGUGCUGAUGGUUUGAUAAUGACAUUGUAUGAAGAUUGAUCCAUGGCACAGGCUUAUUGAAAUCAAACAUAGAUCAAAAGCAUAUGUCAACAACUCCUUUGUGCUAGCUUAAAAAGCUAUUCAAGUGUAUUAUACUCCCUUUCCAUCAAAAGAGAGAGAAAGAAAGAUUGAUGGGCUGUAUGUAAAAUUAAGUUUAGAGCCGUUCAUUACGAGCUCGAAGAAGAAGAGCCCAUUUACCAGAAUACUUUCAGAAAGAUAAAACAUUAGGAGUUCAUCAACCUUUAAUAGAUGCAGAGUUGGAUGCUCCAAAAAUUCUCCUACAUGAUGGCCAACAUGAGGAGGUAGAUCAUACUGAGUUUGUUUUAAAGAAAAGUCCUAUCCAAGAAGGUGAAGAAGAGGAAGAAGAGGAAGAAAUGAAAGAAGAGGAGGAAGAAGAGGAAUCGAAAGAAGAAUCUGAAGGGUACCAAAUAUCUAAAAUGGAAGAUAAGUAGUCAACCCCAGGAAGGUAGGAGUCAACCCCAAAGACAAAGGAGUCAACUUGGCAUACU